UACUUGUGUGUGUGUGUGUGUGUAUAUAUAUAUAUACAUACACACACACACACAAAACAAAGUU